ACGGAAGGCAGCAGUGGGGGAUAUUGCACAAUGGAGGAAACUCUGAUGCAGCAACGCCGCGUGAGGGAAGAAGGUUUUCGGAUUGUAAACCUCUGUUUUUAGUGACGAAACACAUAACGGUAGCUAAAGAGAAAGCCACGGCUAACUACGUGCCAGCAGCCGCGGUAAUACGUAGGUGGCAAGCGUUGUCCGGAUUUACUGGGUGUAAAGGGUGCGCAGGCGGGACAGCAAGUUGGAUGUGAAAUACCGAAGCUUAACCUCGGAGCUGCAUCUAAAACUGUGGUUCUUGAGUGGAGGAGAGGUAAGCGGAAUUCCGAGUGUAGCGGUGAAAUGCGUAGAUAUUCGGAGGAACACCAGUGGCGAAGGCGGCUUACUGGGCUCUAACUGACGCUGAGGCACGAAAGCAUGGGUAGCAAACAGGAUUAGAUACCCUGGUA
rnacentral:rRNA from 1 species